CGCGAAAACUCCACAAUGCGCGAAAGCGUGAUGGGGGAAGUCCGAGUGGCAUGCCUUUGGCAUGUCUUUUGCCAAGUCCAGACAACUUGGCGAAUAAGUGCUGGGUAAGUCCGGUGGCAGCCGCCACGGUAAUACCGGCGGCACAAGUGGUGUCCACGAUUAUUGGGCUUAAAGGGCCAGUAGCCGGCCGGAACAGUCCUAUGUGAAAUGUUUGCUCUUAAAGCAAACGCGGGCAUAGGAUACCUUCC
rnacentral:rRNA from 1 species